rnacentral:rRNA from 1 species
GACCCGUAAUCCGGGUUGCGGACAGUGUCUGGUGGGUAGUUUGACUGGGGCGGUCUCCUCCCAAAGAGUAACGGAGGAGCACGAAGGUUGGCUAAUCCUGGUCGGACAUCAGGAGGUUAGUGCAAUGGCAUAAGCCAGCUUGACUGCGAGCGUGACGGCGCGAGCAGGUGCGAAAGCAGGUCAUAGUGAUCCGGUGGUUCUGAAUGGAAGGGCCAUCGCUCAACGGAUAAAAGGUACUCCGGGGAUAACAGGCUGAUACCGCCCAAGAGUUCAUAUCGACGGCGGUGUUUGGCACCUCGAUGUCGGCUCAUCACAUCCUGGGGCUGAAGUAGGUCCCAAGGGUAUGGCUGUUCGCCAUUUAAAGUGGUACGCGAGCUGGGUUUAGAACGUCGUGAGACAGUUCGGUCCCUAUCUGCCGUGGGCGCUGGAGAAUUGAGGGGGGCUGCUCCUAGUACGAGAGGACCGGAGUGGACGCAUCACUGGUGUUCGGGUUGUCAUGCCAAUGGCACUGCCCGGUAGCUAAAUGCGGAAGAGAUAAGUGCUGAAAGCAUCUAAGCACGAAACUUGCCCCGAGAUGAGUUCUCCCUGAGACUUUAAGUCUCCUGAAGGAACGUUGAAGACGACGACGUUGAUAGGUCGGGUGUGUAAGCGCAGCGAUGCGUUGAGCUAACCGAUACUAAUGAACCGUGAGGCUUAACCUUACAACGCCGAAGGUGUUU